ensembl:lncRNA
GGAGCAACUCCACCUCUGCCACCAGUGAACCCGCCUCUGCGACCCCCAAUGACUCCACCUCUGUGUCCAGGGAACCCGCCUCUGCGACCCCCAAUGACUCCACCUCUGUGUCCAGUGAACCCGCCUCUGCGACCCCCAAUGACUCCACCUCUGUGUCCAGGGAACCCGCCUCUGCGACCCCCCAAUGACUCCAACUCUGUGUCCAGGGAACCCGCCUCUGCGACCCCCAAUGACUCCAACUCUGAGAUCAGUGAACCCACCUCUGCAACCCCCAAUGACUCCAACUCUGUGUCCAGGGAACCCGCCUCUGCGACCCCCAAUGACUCCAACUCUGUGUCCAGGGAACCCGCCUCUGCGACCCCCAAUGACUCCAACUCUGUGAUCAGUGAACCCACCUCUGCGACCCCCAGUGAACCCAAUAUUCCAAAUGUGUUCUACAGGCCAAUAAAAAGAAAGCAGAGACAAACACUUAAUGGGAAGAAAAGAAUAUCUUUUUCGUUGGCAGCCUUGCACAUCCUGGUAAGUAUAGACAUAUAUUUGGUAGCUUAUUUAACCUUAUUGUUUCCUAAGAAAUUGUACUUAUCCAUGAACUUUAUGGUCAGUUUGACCUUUAUACCUUUAAUUAUAUAAAAAAAUCAUGUUUGGUAAAUGAGGGUAAGAUCCCCCUCCCCCAACACUCUUUUUUAUGGCAAUUAAAAGCAUUUUGAUAUUUAAAAAGUUAAUAAAAUUCUGAUUGGUUAUUGAUAUAACACUGUUAGUGUGAAAUUUAAGGAUGUUUGUUGUUCAUAGGUCAUGACUACUUCAUUUUCAUUUCUGUUUAGUUUUACAAACUAAAAACAGCAAUAAAGAACAAGCUAUAUAUUUUUUUUCAUUAUUAUGUAUAAAUUGGUAUUAAUUUAAAAUAUCACAUAUGAAGGAAUUGAUACCUCUUUCAUCUGAUCAUGAAGCCCCACUCACUGUUAACUAUUCAUGGCAUUUGAAGCAUUAAGAAAUGUUACUAAGAAUGUAAUUAGUGAUAACAUGAUAUGUGAGAGAUUGCACACCAUCAUUUUUGAGGCAAUGUUUGGUGUAUUUUUCCAUUAUUAUUAUUAUUAUUAUUAUUAUUAUUAUUAAUUUGCAUUACUUAAGAUUUUUAUCCAAACUGAAGGGACUGUUUUUAAAUGCAUUUAUAACUGAGACAGUCUACAAUGAGAGUCUACUUCAAAAUCACAUCGUAUGUGUGUGUGUAUGUAUGUAUGUGUGCGUAUAUAAAAUAUAUGCAUAUGUGGAUGUAUGUAUACAUAUGUAUAUGUACAGUAUGUAUGUAUAUAUGUAUUUUAUUAUGUAAACAUUUUUAUAUAUAAAAACAACAAAGUUUUUAAACAAAAAGCAGUCUACACCAAACUCUAUCAGCAUACUGCAGCUCAUGGCUUUAGAAGUGAUGCUUCACAAGUCCCAGCAGCAUCAGUUAUGUGCCCAGCAACUUAUUCCUGCUUCAGAUGUAAUACAUAGCAACCCUGAGUGGCAGUGCUGUACAAAAUCCUAUUUACUUGACAGAUUUAUAGGUGUAUAGAACCAAUAAUAUGAAAAAAAGGCAUUUCUGUAUCUGAAUGAAAUAUUGACGCUUUUAAACCAGUUUACAAAAAAAAGUAAACAAACAUGAAAUCAAAUUCUAAUUUUUUUCCAAUUUAAACUAAACUAAAAACUAAACUAAACUAAACUUCCCAAAUAGGAAAUUAAAUGGUCAAACCUUACACUGUUUGGGCACAUAUUUUUGGCAAAAAUACUGUCUUUUUCUUCAUAGUGGCAAGAAGUGGAGGAGUACAUGGGUGUCCGAGGAUGCUGUACAGUAGUUAUUAAAAUAUUUGUGUCUGUUUAAAAAUUAUACUCAUUUGACUUGUCAAUACCAUGAAAUAAAAAAAGAAAGUAUGUGUACUAAUUGUGCUUUUUAUGAAUUUGUUUUAACAGAUCAUUUUAUGUGAAAAAUUAUGCAUGACUCUGUAAAUCUUGCAGAACAGCAAAGCAUAAAAACAACUUCUCUAUCACACAAUACAUCCUACAAUGAAGUGUUGUAUUAUAAAAAUAAAGUGAGAUUAAUG